rnacentral:rRNA from 1 species
UACAGAGGUCCCAAGCGUUGUUCGGAUUCACUGGGCGUAAAGGGUGCGUAGGCGGUCGGGUAAGUCUGAUGUGAAAUCUCACAGCUUAACUGUGAAACUGCAUUGGAUACUAUCCGGCUCGAGGAAUGGAGGGGAGACUGGAAUACUUGGUGUAGCAGUGAAAUGCGUAGAUAUCAAGUGGAACACCAGUGGCGAAGGCAGGUCUCUGGGCAUUAACUGACGCUGAGGAGCGAAAGCAUGGGGAGCGAACAGG